CAGAGCAACAUGUGUAUCAGUAUUAUACGCAGAGCAACGUGUGUAUCUGUAUUAUUUUCAGAGCAGUAUGUGCAUUUGCAUUAUACAAAGAGCAUUGUGUGUAUUUAUUAAUCAUAGAGCAGCGUGUGUAUCUGUUUAUACGAAGAACAAUGUGAAUAUCUGUAUUACACACAAAGCAGUGUGUGUAUCUGACAGAGACUAGUGUGUCUAUCUG